UUAAACCUUGAGAGCAGCCUAUAUCUGGGCUGAUCUGCAAAUAUUAAGACAACUCUUUAGAGCAUUUAUGAUAAGUGAAAGUGUUAUUUGUGUGCACAUUACUGUCAUCAUCUUCCCUCCAGCUCUUCUGCAUGUCGUAUUCCUGUUCCAGUGUCAGUGGCUCUGAAGCAGUCAGCUGCUGCAGCUCAGGAGACUUCAUCCACUCAUGAUACCUGAUAUCAAAGACACGAAAAAGGACCGAGUGGCCCGGCCCAGCCCGUGCCACAGUUCGACCGGCUCCUGUGGUGUGUUAACCAUGUCCAUCCAGUGCUGCAGCUGCGGGCCCCUGGCAUACAUGAAGGGACCCAACACCAGCACUCCUAGCAGGGCUGGAGGCUCUGGGACAGCAAUAAAGACAGACCCAAGCCAAGGUCCCUCCAGAGCACCCUGCCGGCCUGACCGAGCUCCCCCUCCAGAGGGAACAGCACCCUGCCCACCGCGUGGCGUUUGCCGUCUUGCUCCACACUCAGCGCACACACACUCAGGGUGCUCUGAGGCACACACACACCUGACACCUGCAGAAGGAAACAGGAAGUAUGUGAGAUACAAAUUGUUCUUUUGUCUCUAAAGGUCGCAUCGUUUUUCAUUGUCCUUGCCUGGAAAACAAAGCAGUC